rnacentral:lncRNA from 1 species
GGCAGAACCUUCCCCUGCUUUUUACAAGGCAGGCAGGAUGAGACCAUUUCUGCGCCACAGCUGCCUCAGCCUUAAUAGACUGGAAUCCAAUCCAGGAGCAGGUGUUCAGAGUAGCCAUUAAAUCACAAGAGGCUCACACAACAGACAGCCAAGACUUUGGGACAUGAAACAAAUGUUUUGAUUUAACUGAACAAGACAGGAUUGUGUUGCUUUUAUCUUAUCAAAUUGCAAGUUGAUUCAAAAGUAGAAAAAGCAAUGAAUCAUUUGUGUAAAAUGGCCAGAAUUAUACAACUGGUCGUCUCUUCGUGGACUAAUUAAUAGAUCAUGUAAAAAAUUCCAGUUUUCAGUUUUAAAACAAAUUAGUAGGUUUUGAAAGCUGUGAUUUGGCUAUAACCAGUAGAAACAUUUUGCUUGUGUUACAAACAAAUAUAAUGAAAUUAAUGAGGCCUUUUGGGCUUUUCUCUCCCACUUAAAUUCUCCUCCACUCAAGUGAAAAUAGCAUCACUUCAUGUUCUCAGUAUAAAAGUAAUGUAUUACUGAUUUUUCAAAAGUGAACAGAAAAGUUUAAGCAAGACACUCCCACUACCUAUGUCCUUUUCUGAGAUCCAGCCCCUCAUUUGGUAUAAGGGUGGAGAAGAAAUGUUGGAACUUCAUGCCUUGGAGGAGUGGGCAGUGAAGGGAAAGGCAGUUGCACUGGGAGUAGGGAAGAGGAAAAAAUAUUCCUCGAAGAGGAAGAAAAAGCCAGUGGACAUGGGAACAGAUGAAGUCUCUCCCUGUUAAAUAAAGAGAGACAAAUUCCAACCACAGGGAGAAGCCACUUCUGGACUCCAGGAUUGGCAAAAGGGAUGAGUGGCAGGACCCGGUGUGGCAGGGAAGGAAAGGGGAGGGCCGGCUCCUGCCGCACUGCUGGUGGGAGUGGUAACUGGGGUCCUGAUCUCACGGGUGACGUGGCCCUCACGUGAGCAGAAGCCGACGUGUGCAGAUGUCCUUCUAAUCCUGGUCUUCGUUUGGUCGAGCUGCCCUCUCCCUGUUGCCCAGAGGGCGGGCCCGUGGCCGUGGCCGAGGAAAGGAGGAGGAGGAGGUGUAUGCCUGGAUCCCAGCAGAGCGUUAUGCCAUUUGGAGCAAAGGAAUAAUCUGCCUCGAAUCCCUGCAGGAAAAGCUGGUAUUGGGACUCUCCGAAGUGCUGCUCGCCGAGCCAUUUGUCUCUGCUGGGUCGACUGCGUCUGUGAAUCUUGUGCCUGAAGGCCAAUCCAACCCUGGGAGCAGGAAGAAGAGGAAAAUCGUCCAGAACCAAUCCUUAGGUUUGGCGGAGGCGGAAACCGAGAAGAGGGAGGAAGGAAAUUGCUCCCGAGCAAUAGAAGUUGGUAUAAUUGGAGGGCGGUUGUCCUGGUCCCUUUGAUUUGGUGGGGGUGGCAGAGGUAAGGGCGGAGUUAGACACUUUCAUGCACUUCAUGCCUGUCUGGCUUCUAGAUAUUCUCACUUCACCACCAUCCAUUUUGUUACAAGGAAGGGGGUGUGGGCCUCACCUUCAGAGGA